AACGAACGCUGGCGGCAUGCCUAACACAUGCAAGUCGAACGAGACCUUCGGGUCUAGUGGCGCACGGGUGCGUAACGCGUGGGAACCUGCCCUUAGGUUCGGAAUAACUCCCCGAAAGGGGUGCUAAUACCGGAUAAUGUCUUCGGACCAAAGAUUUAUCGCCUUUGGAUGGGCCCGCGUUGGAUUAGCUAGUUGGUAGGGUAAAAGCCUACCACGGCGACGAUCCAUAGCUGGUCUGAGAGGAUGAUCAGCCACACUGGGACUGAGACACGGCCCAGACUCCUACGGGAGGCAGCAGUGGGGAAUAUUGGACAAUGGGCGAAAGCCUGAUCCAGCAAUGCCGCGUGAGUGAUGAAGGCCUUAGGGUUGUAAAGCUCUUUUACCCGGGAUGAUAAUGACAGUACCGGGAGAAUAAGCACCGGCUAACUCCGUG
rnacentral:rRNA from 1 species